CAAUAGCGUAUACUAAAGUUGUUGCGAUUAAAAAGCUCGUAGUUGGAUCUCAGGCAUGGGCGCACGGUCCGCCUCGCGGCGGUCACUGUGUGUUUUGUUUCCCAUCCUACGCUUCCCGGGUAUCAGCCCAUGGUGCUCUUCACUGAGCGUUUUGGGUGGCCGGAACGUUUACUUUGAAGAAAUUAGAGUGUUCAAAGCAGGCACGUCGCCUGAAUAAUGGUGCAUGGAAUAAUGGAAUAGGACCUCGGUUCUAUUUUGCUGGUUUUCGGAACACGAGGUAAUGAUUAAGAGGGACAGACGGGGGCAUCCGUAUUGCGGUGUUAGAGGUGAAAUUCUUGGAUCAUCGCAAGACGAACAACUGCGAAAGCAUUUGCCAAGCAUGUUUUCAUUAG
rnacentral:rRNA from 1 species